GACAGAGGGUGCAAACGUUGUUCGGAAUUACUGGGCGUAAAGCGCGUGUAGGCGGCAGCGUGUGUCGGGCGUGAAAUCCCAUAGCUCAACCAUGGAAGUGCACCCGAAACUGCGCAGCUAGAGUCCUGGAGAGGAAGGUGGAAUACUUGGUGUAGAGGUGAAAUUCGUAGAUAUCAAGUGGAACACCGGUGGCGAAGGCGGCCUUCUGGACAGUGACUGACGCUGAGGUGCGAAAGCGUGGGGAGCAAACAGG
rnacentral:rRNA from 1 species